CAAAACAAAAGAUUACAGUUUCUGUAGAGCCAUCACAAACACUAUCACAACACAAAACAGCGGACACGUACUCUAUGACUGAAAUAUGAAGUUUGUAUUUCUCCUAAUUGUGUCUAUUACAGUGUUUAUAAGAGCUGGUCACUCCGCAUUGGUGCCCCCAUCAUCUUCAUGCCCACAGCCGCUGAGCAUGUGCAAGGCCAACCCUUGUGAUGUGACCAAGUGCAUAUCCUUCCCGAUGGCCACCUGCAUCCCAAACUACUGUGGUGGGUGUACGGCUAAUUUCUACUUCAACGGCGUACCACUAGACAACGAGACCUGCUCAAACAUUAUCAUUUGAAGCGAAACAAGCUGGUUUGACCAUUGAAACAGUGUAGCUUGUAAUAUAUAAGCCGUUAAUAACAUAAUAUACAAUAAUAGUAAACAAUGCUGUGGUGAGGGAAAUGUGUCAGAAUAUACCUAGCCAUGAUAUAUGGUAAUUGUUAAUUGUAGAGUAUUUAAACAUGUAUAAAGUUUUAGUGUUGCCAAAUUUUAACUCAAGAUGAUGGUUCCAUUUUUUUUUCUU
rnacentral:sRNA from 1 species